rnacentral:rRNA from 1 species
AAUAUUGCACAAUGGGCGCAAGCCUGAUGCAGCCAUGCCGCGUGUGUGAAGAAGGCCUUCGGGUUGUAAAGCACUUUCAGCGGGGAGGAAGGCGUUAAGGUUAAUAACCUUAGCGAUUGACGUUACCCGCAGAAGAAGCACCGGCUAACUCCGUGCCAGCAGCCGCGGUAAUACGGAGGGUGCAAGCGUUAAUCGGAAUUACUGGGCGUAAAGCGCACGCAGG